rnacentral:rRNA from 1 species
GUCUUUUUGAAAUUAAUUUAAAGUCUAAUCUGCCCACUGAAAAUUUUAAAGGGCUGCAGUAUAUUGACUGUACAAAGGUAGCAUAAUAAUUAGUCUUUUAAUUGAAGACUUGUAUGAAUGAUUUGAUGAGAUAUAUACUGUUUCUUUAUUAAUAUUAAAAUUUAAUUUUUUAGUAAAAAAGCUAAAAUUUUUUUAAAAGACGAGAAGACCCUAUAGAGUUUAAUUUUUUAUAUUUUAUAAAUUUUUUAUAAAGUUUAUAAUUCUAUAAAAUAUAAAAAAUUUUGUUGGGGUGAUAGAAAAAUUUAAUUAACUUUUUUUAAAAAAUAUGACAUUAAUUUAUGAAUUUAUGAUCCAUAAUUUAUGAUUAUAAGAUUAAAUUACCUUAGGGAUAACAGCGUAAUUUUUUUUUUUAGUUCAAAUAAAAAUUAAAGUUUGCGACCUCGAUGUUGGAUUAAGGUAAAAUUUAAAUGCAAAAGUUUAAAAUUUUGAUCUGUUCGAUCAUUAAAACCUU